UGAUCCUGGCUCAGGAUGAACGCUGGCGGCGUGCUUAACACAUGCAAGUCGAACGAUGAUCCGGUGCUUGCACCGGGGAUUAGUGGCGAACGGGUGAGUAACACGUGAGUAACCUGCCCUUAACUCUGGGAUAAGCCUGGGAAACUGGGUCUAAUACCGGAUAUGACUCCUCAUCGCAUGGUGGGGGGUGGAAAGCUUUAUUGUGGUUUUGGAUGGACUCGCGGCCUAUCAGCUUGUUGGUGAGGUAAUGGCUCACCAAGGCGACGACGGGUAGCCGGCCUGAGAGGGUGACCGGCCACACUGGGACUGAGACACGGCCCAGACUCCUACGGGAGGCAGCAGUGGGGAAUAUUGCACAAUGGGCGCAAGCCUGAUGCAGCGACGCCGCGUGAGGGAUGACGGCCUUCGGGUUGUAAACCUCUUUCAGUAGGGAAGAAGCGAAAGUGACGGUACCUGCAGAAGAAGCGCCGGCUAA
rnacentral:rRNA from 1 species